rfam:Dipodomys ordii contig_40500, whole genome shotgun sequence.
UGCACUGCGGGCUCGGCGGUUCCCGCCCCUCCUGCGGACCAUGACCUCGCCGGGACCAGGUCGACACGUUUAGCUCUCCCUGACCUGCUUUUGAACCCGCUAAUCCCAUCCCGAACUCUCGCCCAGAGGCGAUUCCUCGCCUGGCCCAGCGCACUAAUUCCCGUUGACCUCCUGGCCUCUCCGGCCUCACAGCCUGCUCAGCUUUGAACCCGGUAAGAGCUUCCUCUUGAAUGCGGGUGUGACCGGGUCCACGCGCUGGGCCACCCCGCGGUGCUCACAACCCACACACGUUUGCUCAAGACCAGAGCAAACAUCCGGUAGCUACAAACAUCCUGUCUUCUUGCUUUCUCGAGGUUCUCCCUAGUUUAAUUCACCUGUUUCAUCAAGAAAACUAUACGCCUCACAAAGAUCAAAAUAUUGGGUCACACCCUAAACUGGGAUGCUGUGAUUGGACACAGCAGGCUAGCUACCACGGCCUAGAAACCACAGCUGGAGGUCUGCAGCCCUAGCACAAUGCCAAGACUCGGCAAAGGUGGAAAAAGCUGACAGAA